rnacentral:rRNA from 1 species
AGAGUUUGAUCCUGGCUCAGGACGAACGCUGGCGGCGUGCCUAACACAUGCAAGUCGAGCGAUGAAGUUUCCUUCGGGAAAUGGAUUAGCGGCGGACGGGUGAGUAACACGUGGGUAACCUGCCUUAUAGUGGGGGAUAGCCUUUCGAAAGGAAGAUUAAUACCGCAUAAGAUUGUAGUAUCGCAUGAUAUAGCAAUCAAAGGAGCAAUUCGCUAUAAGAUGGACCCGCGUCGCAUUAGCUAGUUGGUGAGGUAAUGGCUCACCAAGGCGACGAUGCGUAGCCGACCUGAGAGGGUGAUCGGCCACAUUGGGACUGAGACACGGCCCAGACUCCUACGGGAGGCAGCAGUGGGGAAUAUUGCACAAUGGGCGAAAGCCUGAUGCAGCAACGCCGCGUGAGUGAUGACGGCCUUCGGGUUGUAAAACUCUGUCUUCAGGGACGAUAAUGACGGUACCUGAGG